GAUGAACGCUGGCGGCGUGCCUAAUACAUGCAAGUCGAGCGAACAGACGAGGAGCUUGCUCCUCUGACGUUAGCGGCGGACGGGUGAGUAACACGUGGAUAACCUACCUAUAAGACUGGGAUAACUUCGGGAAACCGGAGCUAAUACCGGAUAAUAUAUUGAACCGCAUGGUUCAAUAGUGAAAGACGGUUUUGCUGUCACUUAUAGAUGGAUCCGCGCCGCAUUAGCUAGUUCGUAAGGUAACGGCUUACCAAGGCAACGAUGCGUAGCCGACCUGAGAGGGUGAUCGGCCACACUGGAACUGAGACACGGUCCAGACUCCUACGGGAGGCAGCAGUAGGGAAUCUUCCGCAAUGGGCGAAAGCCUGACGGAGCAACGCCGCGUGAGUGAUGAAGGUCUUCGGAUCGUAAAACUCUGUUAUUAGGGAAGAACAAAUGUGUAAGUAACUAUGCACGUCUUGACGGUACCUAAUCAGAAAGCCACGGCUAACUACAUG
rnacentral:rRNA from 1 species